rnacentral:rRNA from 1 species
UCCCUACGGGACGCAGCAGUGGGGAAUAUUGGGCAAUGGGCGCAAGCCUGACCCAGCAACGCCGCGUGAAGGAAGAAGGCUUUCGGGUUGUAAACUCCUUUUCUCAGGGACGAAGCAAGUGACGGUACCUGAGGAAUAAGCCACGGCUAACUACGUGCCAGCAGCCGCGGUAAUACGUAGGUGGCAAGCGUUAUCCGGAUUUACUGGGUGUAAAGGGCGUGUAGGCGGGGCUGCAAGUCAGAUGUGAAAACCACGGGCUCAACCUGUGGCCUGCAUUUGGAACUGUCGUUCUUGAGUAUUGGAGA